AUACGGAGGAUCCGAGCGUUAUCCGGAUUUAUUGGGUUUAAAGGGUGCGCAGGCGGGAGAUUAAGUCGGCGGUGAAAUUUUGCAGCUCAACUGUAAAAGUGCCUUCGAAACUGGUUUCCUUGAGUGUAGAUGAAGUAGGCGGCAUUUGGGGUGUAGCGGUGAAAUGCAUAGAUAUCACGAGGAACUCCGAUUGCGCAGGCAGCUUACUAAACUACUACUGACGCUCAGGCACGAAGGCGUGGGGAUCAGACAGGAUUAGAUACCCUGGUAGUCCACGCAGUAAACGAUGAUUACUAGCUGUUUGCGAUACAAUGUAAGCGGCUGAGCGAAAGCGUUAAGUAAUCCACCUGGGGAGUACGUUCGCAAGAAUGAAACUUAAAUGAAUUGACGGGG
rnacentral:rRNA from 1 species